GAGUUUGAUCCUGGCUCAGGCAAGGUUUUUAAGCGAAGGUAAUAUUCGCUGGGUGCCUGAAUGCAAAGGGCUGGAUCACCUCCUU
rnacentral:rRNA from 1 species